CCUACGGGAUGCACCAGUGGGGAAUAUUGCACAAUGGGCGCAAGCCUGAUGCAGCCAUGCCGCGUGUGUGAAGAAGGCCUUCGGGUUGUAAAGCACUUUCAGCGAGGAGGAAGGUGGUGAACUUAAUACGUUCAUCAAUUGACGUUACUCGCAGAAGAAGCACCGGCUAACUCCGUGCCAGCAGCCGCGGUAAUACGGAGGGUGCAGGCGUUAAUCGGAAUUACUGGGCGUAAAGCGCACGCAGGCGGUUUGUUAAGUCAGAUGUGAAAUCCCCGGGCUUAACCUGGGAACUGCAUUUGAAACUGGCAAGCUAGAGUCUCGUAGAGGGGGGUAGAAUUCCAGGUGUAGCGGUGAAAUGCGUAGAGAUCUGGAGGAAUACCGGUGGCGAAGGCGGCCCCCUGGACGAAUACUGACGCUCAGGUGCGAAAGCGUGGGGUGCAAACAGGAUUAGAUACCCCAGUAGUC
rnacentral:rRNA from 1 species